AAGUCGUAACAAGGUUUCCGUAGGUGAACCUGCGGAAGGAUCAUUACAAAAUAAAAGCUGGUAGGAAGUGGGGGUCUUGAUCUGUAAGGUGGUAGAGCGAAACAUCCCGGCUGCCUCCCGAAAUGUCUUACAUGUCCCCCACAGCCUGAGGCCGAAUUACACCCUGAUUAUCUACACUUGUUGCUUUGGGGUGCUCAAGUGCCCCAGAGGACCCAACUCUCUUGCAUUUAGUGACGUCUGAGUACUAUAUAAUAUUUAAAA
rnacentral:misc_RNA from 1 species